rnacentral:rRNA from 1 species
UACGGAGGGCGCAAGCGUUGUCCGGAUUUAUUGGGUUUAAAGGGUGCGUAGGCGGCUUUUUAAGUCAGUGGUGAAAUCCUCCAGCUUAACUGGAGUCGUGCCAUUGAUACUGGGAAGCUUGAGUACAGGCGAGGUUGGCGGAAUUGAAGGUGUAGCGGUGAAAUGCAUAGAUAUCGUCAAGAACACCGAUUGCGAAGGCAGCUAACUAGACUGUAACUGACGCUGAGGCACGAAAGUGUGGGGAUCGAACAGG